UGGUUUGUCGCGUUGUUCGUGAAAUCUCACGGCUUAACUGUGAGCGUGCGGGCGAUACGGGCAGACUUGAGUACUGCAGGGGAGACUGGAAUUCCUGGUGUAGCGGUGGAAUGCGCAGAUAUCAGGAGGAACACCGGUGGCGAAGGCGGGUCUCUGGGCAGUAACUGACGCUGAGGAGCGAAAGCGUGGGGAGCGAACAGGAUUAGAUACCCUGGUAGUCCACGCCGUAAACGGUGGGUACUAGGUGUGGGUUUCCUUCCUUGGGAUCCGUGCCGUAGCUAACGCAUUAAGUACCCCGCCUGGGGAGUACGGCCGCAAGGCUAAAACUCAAAGAAAUUGACGGGGGCCCGCACAAGCGGCGGAGCAUGUGGAUUAAUUCGAUGCAACGCGAAGAACCUUACCUGGGUUUGACAUGCACAGGACGCCGGCAGAGAUGUCGGUUCCCUUGUGGCCUGUGUGCAGGUGGUGCAUGGCUGUCGUCAGCUCGUGUCGUGAGAUGUUGGGUUAAGUCCCGCAACGAGCGCAACCCUUGUCUCAUGUUGCCAGCGGGUAAUGCCGGGGACUCGUGAGAGACUGCCGGGGUCAACUCGGAGGAAGGUGGGGAUGACGUCAAGUCAUCAUGCCCCUUAUGUCCAGGGCUUCACACAUGCUACAAUGGCCGGUACAAAGGGCUGCGAUGCCGCGAGGUUAAGCGAAUCCUUUUAAAGCCGGUCUCAGUUCGGAUCGGGGUCUGCAACUCGACCCCGUGAAGUCGGAGUCGCU
rnacentral:rRNA from 1 species